AUUGAACGCUGGCGGCAGGCCUAACACAUGCAAGUCGAGCGGAGCGGCGGACGGGUGAGUAAUGCCUAGGAAUCUGCCUGGUAGUGGGGGAUAACGUCCGGAAACGGGCGCUAAUACCGCAUACUAUCAGAUGAGCCUAGGUCGGAUUAGCUAGUUGGUGGGGUAAAGGCCAACCAAGGCGACGAUCCGUAACUGGUCUGAGAGGAGGAUCAGUCACACUGGAACUGAGACACGUUCCAGAGUCCUACGGCAGGCAGCAGUGGGGAAUAUUGGACAAUGGUCGAAAACCUGAUCCAGCCAUGUCGCGUGUGUGAAGAAGUUCUUCGGAGUGUAAAGCACUUUAAGUUGGGAGGCGUUACCCGCAGAAGAAGCACCGGCUAACUCCGUGCCAGCAGCCGCGGUAAUAC
rnacentral:rRNA from 1 species